CUCGCCCUCGUCUCCGAAUCACAGCCGCAAAAGUAGGCUGCAACUAAUCACCGCUAGUAACUGGUACUAGGACCUACAUCACGAAAUAGAUGCAGAGCGUAGCAUGAGUACAAACACAACAGGUACUCAGUAGGCAUCAUAGGCCGACUGAGCAAAAAGGGGUAAAAACAAUAAGAAAUGAUAGAAUCUAGACACAGAGAGGUCAAAGUGGAUAUGAAAAGAAAGCACACGAGCAUACCAGAAACAAACUAAGUACACUAAACUAAAACCUGAACGGACCCCCAUAAGCUCGAUAGGUACACAGAAAAGUUAAGUCUACUGAGAAAGAAGAAAAUCAGGCUCCCAGCCCAAAGUAACUAAGAUAAUCCAUGAAACUCCAUCCCGUCAGUAGUGCACUCCCAGCCCUACUAGAAAGAGUGACCCUAGGGGGAAUCCAACCAAACAGUGCACUCCCAGCCCAGCUAGAAAGAGUGACCCGUGAGUGAGGUAGAUAUCGCGAGUCAUCCUACCAUGCAGUCUGCUCCCAUCCCAGCUAGAAAGAGCGACCCGGGGACACACAGCCAACAAUAUACUCCCAUCCCAGCUAGAAAGAGAGGCCCGGGGGCGAUCGCCUAUAUCACCGAGUCUACCCAGCCAGCGAUACGUUCCCAGCCCAGCUAAAUAGAACGACCCCGGGGGUAAGGGUAUCUCCAAUAGGAUCUAAUCCAACAACAACCACCGUGGAACGCCGUCCACUCUGAGAAAUCACAGAAAAGGCUCCAAGCCUAUACUAUCUCAAUCCCACGCCUCUAAUGAUGCACCAAACCUUCUAGAAUGCGUCGAAACCGCAGAAUGAGAAAGAGAGGAUACAGAAAUGUAGCAAGCUGCGAUAACGCCUAAUCUAAGGCUCAAACUAUCAGACUCAAGUCUGCUAUUCUAGCCUACAAGGAGUUAGGUCAUCCGAACGACAUCGGCAGAAAGUCAAGGCUAUCCAGCCCACACGGGUCUUAAGUCUAAGGCAAUGCUAGCCUAACCUAGACUAAGGACAUCAUGCUUACGGUUAAGGAUGAACAAGGCAUACAAUACAUAGCAUACGUGCAUACAAUAGCAUUUAGCACAUAAGCAUGCAACUCUACUAAACCGGUUAACAUGAUACUAUACCCGAAAUAUGGCCAAUCGAUCCUAACAUGAAGUAUCUAAUCAAAGUAAGGUAGUAAACUGGUACCCACCCCAAAUUCACUCCAAUCGACAUGUUUUUACCGAAUUAAGCUCAAUCUAAAAGAAAGAAAGUCGUAGCCUACCUUAAGGCCGAUCGUGCGCUCUCCAAAUCACUUUACAGGAGCUUUCCCUAUCCGAUCGAACUCGAAACACUGCCCCGCUAUAAAAAAUAGAUUCACAACGUUAUUACGAUUGUUUAGACACCAAAUUCACAACAAACGGAGACGGGUCAAUUUUGGAGUCAAAACUAGAAUCGUGGGACCCGCACCGAACUGCCUGAAUUUGACUCCGUCAAGAGACCCUAAACGGCACCCUAAACUUGUGUUCCAAAAUGGAACAGAAUUCGAGGCUCAAAACAUAGCAAAAACAAACAAGCAAGAAACUACACUUUAAUCAACUAAAAGAAAACCUACAGCAGCAGACUAAACUCGGAAUAAAUGAGAAUCGAAAGCUGCCCAGCACUCUUUGAAUACUCUACGAAGAAUUCUCGACAAUUCUCAACACGUGGGACUUCGAAUCACCCAAAAUCAAGCAGAAAUGAAAGAGAUAUGACCAAAAGAAGAAUGCCAAAAACAAAGGCUCGAAAAAGGAACUGCAGUCAGCUUAAUCGAGAAAUUACCUCGAACUACGUGCACCCAACAACUUCCAGGCACUCUACAGCGAAGACACCGAAAAUAUGAAGCUUCCGCACUUCGAAUCACCUAAUUCGGAUAAAAGAUGAGAAAGUUAUGAGAGUUUGGAGGUUUGAAAAAUGUCAUCAAUGAAGACUAUGACGAAAGAAUCAAGAUAAGGCCUGAACAUGCGUGUCAUCAAGUCCAUAAAGGUAGCAUGGGCAUUAGUCAACCCAAAUGACAUCACCGAGAACUCAUACUGGCCAUAACGGGUCCUAAAUGCAGUCUUAUGGAUGUCCGCUGCCCUAAUCCUCAACUGGUGGUAACCGGACCUCAAAUCAAUCUUAGAGAACACUGGAGCUCCCUGUAGCUGGUCAAAUAGGUCAUCAAUCCUAGGUAGAGGAUAUCGAUUCUUUACUGUCACCUUAUUCAACUGCUUAUAGUCAAUGCACAUGCGCAUCGUACCAUCCUUCUUCUUAACAAAAAGAAUAAGAGCGCCCCAAGGUGAUAGACUACGUCUGAUAAAUCCCUUACCCAAGAGAUCCUGAAGCUUAACACUGAGUUCGUUGAGCUCUGCAGGAGCCACCCGAUAUGGAGGAUUAGAAAUAGGCCGAGUACCUGGCUCAAGCUCAAUCGGAAAAUCAAUACCACAUUCUGGGGGUACGCCAGGUCGGUCAGUAGGAAACACAUCUAAGAAGUCACGAACAACAAGAACUUACUCAACCGGAGGAACCUCCCUACUCACAUCACGCACGCACAUAGGCCAAAUAUGAUAAGUAUCCACAAGCCACUAGCCUCCUAGCCCGAAUAAAAGAGAUAACCCCAAUUUGUGUGCUACCACGAGAUCCCUGCCACACCACCGGAGGAAUACCUAGAAUGGCUAAGGUAACGGUCUUAGAAAAGCAAUCUAAAACAAGACGGUAAGGGGAUUACCGUUCAAUGCCUAGAAUCACAUCGAAAUCAACCAUGUCAAGCAAUAUAAGGUCAGCCCGGGUGUCACGCCCCUGGAUAGUAACUAAGCAAGAUCGAAAUACCUGAUCCACUACUAAAGACUAACCCACGGGGGUCGACACACGCAACGGCGCUACCAGAGGCUCAGACAUCAUACUCAAUCGAGAGGCAUGUAAACAGAAACAUAUGAAAAAGUAGAGCCCGGAUCAAAUAAAGCCAAGGCGGGCUGCUGGCAUAAAAGAAUCGUUCCAGUGAGCACAUCGUCUGAUGCCUCAGCCUCCACACUCGCUGGAGCUGCAUAGAAAUGGCUAUGUCUGCCUCUGCCCUGACCAUCAAACCUACCACCUGACCUACCUCCUCGAAGACCACCCUGUAUACCAUGAUGACCACCUCUCUGGUCCUGACCCUGACCACGACCUCUAGCUGGAGGUGCUGGAAAAGCUGGGGGAGCUACGUGAGGAACGGGAGCAAUCCGACCAUUCUCCUCGGGGACCACCCCAUAUACUCUGCUGGCCACCUCUACGGUCCUGACCCUGACCACGGCCUCUGGCUGGAGGUGCUCGUAAAGCUCGGGGAGAUGCAUGAGGAGCGGGAGCAAUCCGACUAUGCUGAGGGUAGUCCCUGUCCCAAUGACCCAUCUCACCACACUCAUAGCAACCAUGUCGAGGGAGACUCCCAGAAGAACAACUACCAUGGCCUGAAGAACCCGACUGAAACACCUCGCGGCCCUAACUCGAACUAGCCUCACUCCGACCACCAUUUAGUGCCUGAAGAGAGGCUUGUGUAGGUCUGCUAGACUAACCCUAUCGAAAUCGUUGUCCGGCCCUGUCAUGAUAAUCUCUAGACCUGGGGCGGGAGUCACUGUAGCUGCCCUCAUGCCUAGCCCUCUCUCGCUGCCCCCUUGGGCCUCGCGACGAAGAUGCUUCAUAGUACUGGCAUGGUCAACUAUGUCUAAAAAAGAUUGACCCACAGAAACUAAGGAUUGGGUCUCAAGCCGAAGCUGCAAUCUCAACCCACGAACAAAGCACCUAACUAGCUCCACCUCUGUAGGUAAUAUCAUCUCGGCAUGACGAGAGAGUUCGUGGAACCUAGGGUCGUACUCUGCCACCAACAUGGAGCCCUGCUCCAACCUGCAGAACUGAUCCCUGAGGCGGUCUCUGACGCUACGAGGGAUAAACAUGGCCACGAAGGCCUCAGAAAACUCAUCACAUGAUACUGGUGGAGAUCCAACUAGCCUGCUCUAAAUGAAUGUGUGCCACUACUGCCUGGCUGGCCCAUCUAGCUGGUAAGCAAUGAAGUCAACCACUAUAGACUCCACAAGGCCCAAAGUGUGAAGCCUCUCAAGGCAAGUAGUAAGAAACUCAUAGGCAUCAUCACCCACAGCCCCAGAAAACCUCGGUGGUGUCAACCUGAGAAACACACCAAGCAUCUUCUGGUCCUUAAGCGGCAUAGUUCUGUCAGCUGCCAAGGGUUGUACUCCCUCAGGUGGUACCUGAACCUGAGGUGCCCUCACUGUAGGAUGAUCCUGCGGUACUAGUGUUGGUGUAACUGGGGCGGGUGGCUGCUGCAUCCCCCCAAGCACACCUAAGAGUUGUGCAAUAGCGAUCUGGAGAUCUGGAGUCAAAACCAGUCCGGGUGGCGGCUGGGCUGGCCCCAGCCCCACCGGCUGAUCUGGUAUACGAAGUACUGAAAGGUCAGUUACUGGCUGUGGAUCCUCCUCUCUCUCCUUGACUAAUAAUGUGACCCUCUCUCUAUCUCGGGGUUGGUGUCUACCCCAAGCUGGGGCUCUGUCUGCAGGCCUGGGUGCAUCACCCCCAGCCACGUCACCUCGCGAGCGAGCCAUCCUGCGAAAGAGUGAAACAAGUGAGACCUUAAGGAACCAAUAAGACACAUGCGGCACGAAAGUGAAACAAAAAAGGAAAUCUUUCUAAGGACAUCCUGUAGCCUCCCCGAAGAUAAGUUACGGACGUCUCCGCACCGAUCUGCAGGACUAUACUAGACGUUAGCUCUGUACAAGUGAGACCGGUGAACCUGAGGCUCUGAUACCAACUUGUCAUGACCCGAUUUCUCGAGUCAUGAUGGCACCUAAUAUACCCUACCAGUAGGUAAGCCAACCCGUAACCCAGAACAUCAAGCAACGAGCAAAGGGGCAGAAACUAGCGAAAACAACAAUCUAAAGAAGAAUAACAAAGCGGAAGCAACUUAAAAUAAAUAUAUACAGAAAUCCCUCCUAGAACCUGGAAGUCACUAGUACAGAGCUAUCUUAUAGAGAGUACAAGUUCCAAAAGUGGACCACAACAGAGCGUGUCUCCAAGGCAACAAAACUAGCUAAGAACAAAAGAAGGAGUCAGAACAAACCCAAAAUGCCAAGUGCUCGCCCUCCUCUCCGAAUCACAGCUGCGAAAGAAGGUUGGAACUAAUCACCGCUGGUAACUGGUACUGGGACCGUCAUCACGAAAUCGAUGCAGAGCGUAGCAUGAGUACCAACACAAUAGGUACUCAGUGGGCAUCAUAGGCCGACUGAGCAAAAAGGGGUAAAAACAAUAAGAAAUGAUAGAAUCUAGACAUUGGGAGGUCAAAGUGGAUAUGAAAAGAAAGCACACAAGCAUACCAGAAACAAACUAAGUACACUAAAGUAAAACUUGAACGGACCCCCAUAAGCCCGACAUGUACAAAGAAAAGCUAAGUCUACUGAGAAAGAAGAAAAUUGGGCUCCUAGCCCAAAGUAACUAAGAUAUUCCAUCAGACUCCAUUCAGCCAGCAGUGCACUCCCAGCCCAGCUAGAAAGAGUGACCCGUGAGUGAGGUAGAUAUCGCGAUUCAUCCUACCAUGCAGUCAGCUCGCAGCCCAGCUAGAAAGAGCGACCCGGGGAAACCCAGCCAACAGCACAUUCCCAGCCCAGCUAGAAAGAGAGGCUCGGGGUUGAUCGCCGAGAUCACCGAGUGUACCCAGCCAGCGAUACGUUCCCAUCCUAGCUAGAAAGAACGACCCCGGGGGUAAGGGUAUCUCCAAUAGGAUCCAAUCCAACACCAACCACCGUGGAACGCCGUCCACUCUAAGAAAUCACACAAAAGGCUCCAAGCCUAUACUAUCUCAAUCCCACGCCUCUAGUGAUGCACCAAACCUUCGAGAAUGUGUCGAAACCGCAGAAUGAGAGGGAGAAGAUAUAGAAGUGCAGCAAGCAGUGAUAACGCCUAAUCUAAGGCUCAAACUAGAAGACUCAAGUCUGCUAUUCCAGUCUACAAGGAGCUAAGUCAUCCGAACGACGUCGGCAGAAAGUCAAGGCUAUCCAGCCCACACGGGUCAUAAGUCUAUGGCAAUGCUAGCCUAAUCUAGACUAAGGACAUCAUGCUUACGGUUAAGGAUGAACAAGGCAUACAAUACAUAGCAUACAUGCUUACAAUAGCAUUUAGCACAUAAGCAUGCAACUCUACUAAACCGGUUAACAUGAUACUAUACCCAAAUAUGGCCAAUCGAUCCUAACAUGUGGUAUCUAAUCAAAGUAAGGUAGUAAACUGGUACCCACCCCCAAUUCACUCCAAUCGACAUGUUUUGACACAAUUAAGCUCAAUCUAAAAGAAAGGAAGUCGUAGCCUACCUUAAGGCCGAUCACGCGCUCUCCAAAUCACUUUACAGGAACUUUCCCUAUCCGAACGACCUCGAAAUGUUGCCUUGCUAUCAAAAAUAGAGUCACAACGCUAUUAUGGUCGUUUAGACACCAAAAUUACAACAAACGGAUACGGGUCAAUUUUGGAGUCAAAACGAGAAUUGUGGGACUCGCAUCGAACUGCCCAAACGGCAUCCCAAACUUAUGUUCCAAAAUGGAACACAAUUCGAGGCUCAAAACAUAGAAAAAACCAACAAGCAAGAAACCACACUUUAAUCAACUAAAAGAAAAUCUACAGCAGCAGUCUAAACUCAGAAUAAACGAGAAUCGAAAGGUGCCCAGCACUCUUUGAACACUCUACGACGAAGUCUCGACAAUUCUCAACACGUGGGACUUCGAAUUACCCAAAACCGAGCUAAAAUGAAAGAGAUAUGACUAAAACAAGAAUGCCUAAAACAAAGGCUCGAAAAAGGAACUGCAGUCGGGUUAAUCGAGAAAUUACCUCGAACUACGUUCACCCAACAACUUCCGAGCACUCUACAGCGAAGCCAACAAAAAUACGAAGCUUCCGCACUUCGAAUCGCCUAAUUCGGAUAAAAGAUGAGAAAGUUAUGAGAGUUUGAAGGUUUGGAAAAUGUUGUUGAUUUUCUGCAUUUAUAGCAGAUUUUCUGCAAUAUUUCCAAAACAUAAAAACUCCGACGGAGUGCUCCGAACUCGUUCAGAAUCCCGUGCACGCAAACGAUAUAUGCAACCAUACCAAAUUUGAUAUUCCGGACUCAACGACGCAAUUAAAAUUUCCAUCAAUGGUCAUCUCGAUAAAAAAUAGGUCCCACAUCCAAAAGUCAUUUUAAGUCAAAAACCACAAAAGGGCUCGGAAAGAUAUCGAAAAUCUCGAAAUACAAAAGAAGGGUCAAUCUAGACCAAACUCGACAUUCCGGAGCUAACCGCGCUGACGGAAUUCUCAUCCAAGCACGUUUGCUCAGAAUGCUGACCAAAGUCAAACUUAGGCUUAAACUUAAAGUUAAAAUGCCUAAUCGCACCGACUCACACUGAAAACCUCGGGAAUCAUGUCGACCAUGCCACUAGCCUAAAAUGACCCUUACGGAGCUGAUGGAAUCGUCAGAAUUGGAUUUUGAUGUCAUCUUCUUGAACUUUUGAUCGAAAAUGAUUGUUCAAGGUUCAUAAGCUCCAAAACACAAAAACUCUUACCAAGACCAAACGAACGACCAGGUGACCGAACUGUCAGUCCCAGCAAGUCAUAAAUGACUUGGGAUCGCUACAGGAACGCUCUGUUAUAAUAAUUUUCUAUUAUUAUUUUUGCAAGUAUAUAUAUUUUCAUAUUGUCCUUUUUAUUACAACUUUCUUAUUUUUAUAGGUUAUAGCUAGUUGUGUACUUUCUAGAUUAUAUAGUUUCAUUUCUUCUAACCAUUUUAUUCCUUGUGUAAUAUUCUUAUUUCCUUGGUAGAAUUUGAAUUUUAUUAACAUUAAUAUUCCUCCAAUAAUUAUUUCUUUUUCUGUUGUUUCUUCAGAAUUUAAUAAUAAUUUUGGUAAGUCUGGACAUGUUUGUUCUUUAGAGUUUAUUUCUUCUUCUGUUACUAAUUCUCUUGUUAUAUAAUUUUAUUCUUGUCCGGUGUUUAUUAGUAUAAUGUACUUUCUUUGUUCCAUUUUUCCAGUUUUAUAGUAAUGGUAUGGCUCUAUUUCUUUUGUUAUUUGGUAUUCUACUGAUUUUCUUGAUAACUGGGGUGUUUUGUUACUAUAGUUUAUUCCUUUUAUUCUUUUUGAUGUACUUAUUCUGUCACUUACUAUUUCUAAAUCUUCUUCUAUAUCUAUUUCUUUGUAACUAUAAUCAUUAUUAUCUAUUACUGUAACAAUUUGUUCAAAAGGGUUUUCUAUUUUUAUCCUAUUUAUCUUAUGUUUUGCUGUUAUUUUAUGUUUUGUAGUUAGUACAUAUAGGUUUUUACAUCUGGCCGUAAAUAUUUAACUUCCUGGGCUAAUUCUAUGCUGACAUUUUCUAAUACAAUACUAGAGAUUUAUCUAUAUUUUUAUCAUUUAUUGCUACUGAAUAAUUGGCACUUAUUAUAAAUUUGAAUUUUUUGAUAUAUUAGAUUUCCUUUUACUACACUUAUUAUACUUUUUUCUAUAGGUUCUACUAUCCUAUCGUCUACUAGAUAUAUUUCUAUGGGUGUAUCUAUACCUUCUCUAAAACAUGUUUUUAUCAAUAUUUAUGCUCCUCCUAGGUGUACAUAUUUUAUUGGGUCUUUAGCUUUAAUUUCUUGUUUUUCUUUAUUUAUUAUUCUUUUAUUUAUUAUUGGUAUUUUUGCUUUUGCUUUUGUAUAUUUACAGUGUAUUAUGUGUUCCUUUUGGCUUACCACGUAAUUUUCUUCUUUUUGUCUUUUAAAUAAAUUUUUUAUUACUAGUACCUUAAAUAUUUUUUCUACGCUUAAGUCUAAUUCUUUCCCUUUUAUUUGUUCAAAUAUGUUAAUAUCAAAUAUAACUUUUUGUUCCGUAGAUUAUUCAUUUAAGUGUUCUUCGUGACUUAUUAUAUGUAUGUCUUUUUCAGUCAUCUAAAUUAGAUAAAUUAUCUACUUCUUCUUCGUUUAGUUCAUUUUCAGAUAACUCAUAUAUACUAUCAUCACUUUCUGGUUCAUAAUCUAUAUAUUCUAUUUGUAUAUAUUCUUCAUUAUCUAUUAUUACUUUAGAUAUUUGUAUUUUCUUGGGAUUUUUAGGUAAUUUACAAUCUUUAGCUAUAUGUCCUAAUUUUCCAUAAUUAUAACAUGUGCAUUCAAUUAGUUUUUUCUUUGGUUUAUAUGGUCUUUUAUUUUUAUAAUUCCUUAUGUAAUAAUCGUCGAGGUCUUUUAUACUUAUAUUGAGAUUUAUAUUUUUUAUAUUUACUUUGUUUUCUAUAUUUCUUUCUAUAAUAAUAAUCAUCGGUACAUCCAAAUUGAAGUGCCACCUUAUCUUUACAACAUGAUAAAUUUUUCAUUAUGGUUUUUUCUAUUUUAAUUUCUUCUUUAUAUCUUUCACAUAUUUCUGAAUACCAUUUUUGUAAGAAUCAUAUUCUUGCUCCUAAAGUAUCUUGUAGUCCUGCUUCAUUCCAAUCUUUUAUUAUUUUUGAACUAAAUGGUUCUGAUAGUUUUGUGAAGUAUAAUCUUCUUAUUUCUUUUCCUUCCUCUGUACUAUAUGUUCCUUUGUAUUAAUAUUCUCAAAAUACACAUAUAUAUGUUUCUAUAUAACACAUGUUACGUAUUGCUAAUUUUAACAUUAAAUUCAUGUUUAAUUGUUUUUCUUUAUUUUGUUCUUAUGUUUCUGUGGUUGUACUUUUAAAUUCAUUUCUUAUGGCUAUUUCAUAUUUAUUUAAUAUGUCAAUUGGCGUUGUUGCUAUUUCUCCAUCUAUUCUCUUAUUAUUUUUUAAUGUUUUUAUGCUUUCUUCUGUUAGGUUUUGUAACCAUAGUUUUACUGUUCCUAGUAGUGUCCUUUCUAAAUAUCCUGGUACUUCUAACAUUCCUAUUUUAUUAUCUAUUAUUUGUUUUGAUAUAUAUCAUUUCCAUAAUUGAAUUGUUUUGUAUAUAUCUGUUACACAAUCUAGAUCUAAGAAAUUAUUUUGUGUAGUUGUUGGGAUUGAUGUCCAUUUUUUGUUUAACUUUUUAUUCCAUAUACUAUUGUCUCUAUCAGAUUGUUCAUAGCUCGCUGUAUAAUAUACUGGAAUUAACUUUUUUGGAUUUUUGACUUCCGAUGUACUUGCUUUUGUAUAUUCAUUUAUAUCUCCUAUAUUUAUUUCUGUAAAUUUUUCAUUUUCUUCAAUAUUUGCUAAAAUUUCUGUAUAUGUUUCGCUUAUGUCUGAAUCUUGUUGUAAGUGAUAUUCAUUUAUAUCAUCAACACUUAAUUCUUGUUCUUCGAUUUGAAAUUUUUUUUUUUAAAUUUCUAUUUCAUUUUUUAAUUUUGUCUCAAUUACUCUUUCCUUCUGUUUAAUUGUAUAUAAUUCUUGUAAUGUAGCUAAUUCUUUUUCUAAAGUAAUUAUUUUAACAUUUUUUGUUUCUUUUAUUUGUUGUAUUUCCAGUUGUGCUUGUCGUUUAAUAAUUUCUACCUCCUUUUUUCUAUCUAUAUCUUCGUUUUCUUUUGCUAUUCGUACCGUGACUGUUAAACUAUCUUCUAAUCUUAAUGCUUCUUUUUCUAGCAUUAGACUUAAAUUUUCACCUAUUUUUUUAUAUCUUCUUCCUAAGUUUGAAAAUAUUAUCUUUAUUUUUAAUCCGUCCUAAUUUUCAUAUGUUUUUUCGUCUAUAGCAAAUUCUUCUUUAUUCAUCACAAAUUGUGUUUUAAUUUAUGUUCAAUUAGUUGUAUUUGCAUUUGUAACUUAAAUAUUGUUUUUCUUUGUCCUAAUAUAGAUUUUUGACAUACUUCUGCUUCUGCAUAUAUAUUAUAAUUAAGUCUUUCUUGUUUAUGUUUCAACUCGUAGCGUUUUUCUAUAAUUGUUCUAAUUAAUUCUUGUUUGUGUUGUUUUUUGUUCAUAUUAUCCAUAGCUCUGACACCAAUUUUAGGCAUUGAUCCUUUUUUCAUAAUACUCUUUUCUUAAAGGUAUUAAUCUUAUAAUUUCUUUUAUAUUUUCCAGGAUGUAUUCGAUAUAUUGUAUAAUUUAACUUUUUUGGAUUUUUUACUUCCGAUGUACUUGCUUUUGUAUCUUCGUUUAUAUCUCCUGUUCCUAAACAACGCCUCAACUCUGUUUACCCCUCUCACGGCUUCCCUACCUAUGGUUUCAACUUUAGGAUGGUAUAGUUCUGGAAGUUUUUCCUUUUUCCUCAUGUUAGCAAACUAGAAACAUGCUUCAAAUAAUUCUAGUAUAUAAUAACUAAUAUAAACUUAUUUAAUCAUGCUAUGAUAUUCAGGAAUCACUAGAUUUAGCUAUGCAUAAUCAUAAAUAGAUAUACAUGUCUUUCUGUGAUAUCUGGUAUAUUUUGAUCCAUAGCUUAGCUUUGAAACUUGAUAUUUUUAUUGAGUAUUUUUGUUUACAAAGAGGCUUGCUUUCCGUCAAGAAAGUCUUACCUUAGCUAUGCACAAUGGCUUUCUAUUUAUAUUAGUAGAGAUGCUAACAUCUCUAUUCCUAUUUUGCAUCUGUCCACUACAUCUGUCCACUAACUUUACAUCACACUAUUGUUAAUUUACAUCUGUCCACUAAUUUACACGACACUUUUCUGUCAAUAAUUUACAUACUUUAAUAAUUCACUACUACUUUACAAUAAGACAAACAACUUUACUUUACUUUUUUCUUUUUAUCUUGUUGGGUAUCAAUCUUGCUUUUUAUCUUGUCGUUGUUGGCUUUCAUUCUAGUUGGACAUCUGGAAUUACAUCAUCUUCUCCAUAGCAUUUUGAACAUUGGUGAUCUAGGUAUCUGUGUCCAAUUGUCUUGCAAUAUUUUGUCAUUAUCUCUGGCGAAAUGAAAUUCUUUCGUAUUGCUCUUUUAGUUGGCUGUUGUUCUAGUUUUAAUAAGCUUAGUAUUCAUUGUUGUAUUUCUUUCAUAUCUGCUUCUCUAAUUUCUCUGGAAUUUGAAUAUAUCAUAGUUUGUUCUCUUGCAUAAUAGCUCCAUACUGAAUUUCCAUUUAAAUAAUUGGUUGUUAACUCGUUCAGAAUAGUAGCUAUUCCAAUAAUCCGCUUUCUUGCAUAAAAUUCUGGUAUCUCUAUCAUUUGUAUCUCGUCUUGUCGUUCUAUUUUUUUCGGUAUUAUCAUUUCUCUGGUUAAUCCGAUUUUUAUAACUUGUAUGAUAGGUUUAAUUUCAUCAUACAAUAUUUCUGUUGGUGCUGAAUAGAACUUUAUAUAAAAAAAUAUUCCUUUAGUUAUCCUUUUAUAAUGCAUAAAUGCCUUAUGUAACUCUGGUAUUGUUGAUAUUUCAUCUCCUGUUUGGGUAUAUACGGUACUUAAUAAUCCAUAGUUGUAGCAAGUUCCUACUAGAUUAGUAUUUGUUCAUGGUUGUGCAAUUAGCUUAUUAUAACCCUGUAGAUUUCGUGCAAUAUAAUCUUCAUGGGGGUUUUUGGUAUUUUUGGACCUUGGGUUUUGGUUUAGAAAAGUCUGUAUUUUGUGGAUGUUAUCUAUAUAAGCUCUGGUUAUAUGGUUAUAAGUCUUUUUGUUUUGUCAUAGACUUUCUUUAUAUGUAUUUAGCUGGGGUGGUAUGAAUAAUGGAUCUUUUUGGUUUUUGGGUAUAAAUGGUUUUUUGAAUAGUUUAUUCGUAUUGGUAUUAACAUAUCUAGUUUUAUUCUCUUCCUUUGUUGCAGAUGUGCUCCCUGUAGCUGCAUAUAACAAAUCAAUAUGGGUUUUUAGGUGUUUCUCAAAGUCACCUUGUAGCUCUAGAUAUUUAGAGUAUUCUGAUCGACUUAGCUCCACAUUUUUAUAGUCAUGCUGCUGACUUCUUAUUUGUUGUAGCUCUUUGUCUAUGUUUUCUACUUUUGUACAAAGUAUAGUCAUAGCUUUGAGUAUUUCUUCUAUUGUAUUUUCUUUUAUCAGUUUGAGUAGCUUUGUCUUGAGAUGUAAUCUGCAAUAACAUUCUUGUUAGUACAUAUUACUUCUAUAGUAAAUGUAAAAUUCAAUAUAUUUAAUACUAGUCUCCGUAUCUCUUUGAUUGUUACUGAAUCUUGUACCUUUCUUGUUAGCCACCAUUUUACCUGUGUAUUAUCUGUUCUUACAAUAAAUUUGUUAUACACAAUGUAUGGUUCAAAGGCUAAUAAGCAUUUGUAUAUUGAAUAUAAUUCUUUUCUGUUUAUUUCCCAUUUUAUUUCGAGGUUUGAAAAUGUUCCUGAAUAAUAUCUGCAAUAGUGUUCUACCUUCUCUUUAUCAUAUCUAUAUUUUAAUACUCCUCUGUAGCUUAUUUCAGUUGCAUCUGAUUCUACUAUAUAGAUGAAUUUUUUAUUUUCAUCUGGAAAGUAUAGUUUAGGUAACUUUUUGCAUAAUGAUUUUACUUUUCGUAUUUGUUCUUGGUCUUUAUUGUCAAAAUGAUAUUCGACAUCUUUUUUUAAUUUUUUGUGCAAUGGUUUUAAAUUUUCUAUUAAAUUUGGUAUGUAUUCUCUUAUUUGAUUUACUAAUCCUAAAAACGAUUGUAAUUUCUUUUUCGUAUCUAUUUGUUCUUCAGAAUUUAUUAUUUUUUGUACUAUGUGUGUUUGCAUUUUAAUACCAUUUUUAUCUAUUUGUAUUCCUAGGAAUUCUAUCUGGUUUUUCAUUAUUUCUGCCUUUUUCUUAGUUAGGCUUAUCCCUGAGUAUGUUAUAAUAUGUAUGAAUUUUUCUAGUAAUCUUAUAUGCUCAUCUUGAGUUUUUCAGUAUAAUAAUAUAUCAUCUAUGUAUAUUAUACAAUUUUCUAGUUGGUUAAAGUAAUUGUCCAUAAAAUGUUGGUAUCUUCCUGGUACAUUUUUAUAUCCAAAUGGUAAUACAUUGCAUUCAUAAAACCCUUGUGGUACUGUGAAAGUUGUUAAUUUUUUAGAUUCUUCUUCUAAUUUGAGGUGGUAAAAUCCUGACUUACAAUCAAAUUUACUGAAGUAAUUGUAUCCUUGGAUUUGUCUUAUUACAUUUUUAUAUCCAAAUGGUAAUACAUUGCAUUCAUAAAACCCUUGUGGUACUGUGAAAGUUGUUAAUUUUUUAGAUUCUUCUUCUAAUUUGAGGUGGUAAAAUCCUGACUUACAAUCAAAUUUACUGAAGUAAUUGUAUCCUUGGAUUUGUCUUAUUUUUAAUAUUUUAUGUGGUAUUGGGUAGUUAUAUGUUUUUGUUUUUGCAUUUAGAUUUCUAUAAUCAAUAACCAUUCGACUUUUUCCUCGUUUUUGUUCACUAUGUUUAUUUACUAUAAAUGUUGGGCUUGUAUGUUUACUAUUACUUUCCUGUAUAUAUUUAUUUCCUAAUAGUUCCUUUAUAUACAUUUUAAAUUUUGUUAGAUCACUAAAAUUAUAUUUUAAUGAUUUUUGGGUUAUUAUAAUAUUAUCAUCAAUUAGUUCGAUUUUUAUUUUUGUUUUAUGUUUUUCCCAACCUUUUAAGGGGUCCUCACUGUAUAAUAGUUCUAGCUUUUCUUUAAUCAUUUUUAAUUUAUCUAUUGAAAAUAUAAUUAAUUUUAUCUUAUGGUCACUUUCGAUAAAGUUUUCUAGUUUUUGAGUAAUUUUUUCACUUCCUCUUAUCCAUGGUGUGGUUUUCCUAUUUUUGUUGUUUACUCUUUUUGCCCCUAUCUUUUGUUUACAUGGUGUAGUAAACCACCAGUGUGUUUUUGUUAUUAUAUGUGGAUAUAAUUUUUCUAAGAAUGGCAUUCCUAAAAGCAUAUCUUUGUUUGUAAAUUCAUAACUAUAUAUGUCCUCUACAGUUAGUAUUUUAUCCCAUAUCUGUAAUUUUAUAUUCUUUGCUUUACAUGUUAUCAUACUUCCUUCAUUAUUGAAUCAUGUUACUAUUGGUGUUUUUAAUUUUUCCCAUCUUUCCUCUGGUAAACAAUUGUAUUUACACAUGUUGGCUUUUGCUCCUGUGUCUAUCAUUGGGGGGUAUAAUUUCACGACCCGAUUUCUCGAGUCAUGAUGACACCUACUAUACCCUACCAGUAGGUAAGCCUACUUGUAACCCAGAACAUCAAACAAUGAGCGAAAGGGCAGAAAUUAGCGAAAACAACAAUCUAAACAAGAAUCACAACUACGGUGUAUAAGAAACACAAUUAGAAACAUAUACAUAGUCAAUACAAUCUAGUUUUAGUAUGACAUGAAAGAAACACUUCAUGAGCAACAUCAAGGCAAGCUUGUGUAAUGCAUAGGUAAGACCCCAUAAUACCACCCAUACUAACAAAGUCACUUUAGAUCCCCAUUCAUGUUUACCAUCUCUUAAUCUCACCUUUAGCCUAUUUCUCAUAGACAAGGAACAUUCACCUUUAGUCAAAUACAUCAAGGAAAUCAACCCAUGGCAACAAUGAAAGUUAGCAUACAACAUUACAAGUAGCCUUACUAUCUAAUGAAAAUGCCAUCUAAUGACAAGCAAAUUCACUACAUGAAUAACCAUGACAUAAGAGGAACCUACCAUAACUACUCUCAAGGCCUACUUGUGCAAUGCAUGGAUGAAGUUCCAUACCCCCACCCACACUAACUAGUACACAUAGACCAUGAGAGCUUAUUCAUGGAAUUCGGUGUCUACCCCACACCGAACAACGGUGUCCUACUUGCCUAAGGUAGAACUUAGACUAUUAGCUUGGAAAUGAAUCCAAUGGAUAAAUAACCUACGAGGGCACAUAGUUAUGGGAUAAGGGGAUUGCUACUAAAGAACCCAACCACUACUAACGCAAGGGUUUCCAUCCCAAGAUAUUGUUCCUAGAAACCUGGCCUCUACUAUCGUUAGGGCAUCUAUCUCAUAUCAAUAUCCACUCUGUGCUAACCAUAACUUCCAUUGAGUUUAUACUAAGUCUUGACUUAAAUUACUAAAUAUGGGAGGGUGUCUUGACAUUCAAUCCAAUAAACUCAUUCUAAAGCUCCUAGAUUCAUUAGGGGAGACUAGUCUUCAACCCUUAGAAUCACCACAUGUGACAAACCUUUCACAUUGUAUGGUAUUCAUGUCUAAGUGUGCAAGUUAGGAUAAUCAUCCAAUCCACACAACAAUUAGAUUAUAAUGUAUUCACUUUACUCUCAAAGCAAUCUAAUUGAAUGCACACAAGUCUUAUACACAUAGUUGAUUCUCAUGCUUUACCCUUCAAGCCUAUAGAUCACAUUCAACAAAUCAAUAUAGAAUUACUAUAUUAGAUAUAGAUGGUGACAUGAUUCAAUUAACUAAGCUACUACAAGGAAACCUCAUACUAUUCAAUUCACCACAACUCACCCACAUCACAGUCACAAAUUGGGGACAUGGGUGUUCAUGGGAUCUUUGAGGAAAUUCAACAUCAAAACUAUAGAAAUUCCUUAAUUAAUACAUAACUCAAGUAAUCAACUCAUUAUAUUCAUGAUUCUACAAAAAUACUACUAAUACCAAUCAACACCCACACUCUAAGAUCCAAUUUGAGAAAUUAAGGUAUUUUAUGGAUUCAUGGAAGAUUUUUACCAUAAAACUACCAUGAAACAGAAAUUAAACAUCAAUAUAAGAUAAUUAAAUCAUAAAAAACGUUUUACAAAGAAUCCAUGGCUUGGAUUGAAAACCCUAGGUUUUGGAGACUUUGUCUACUUUGAAAUUGAGAGUUUAAGGACUUCAUGGAUGAAGGACUAACCAUGAAUCAAAACUACCAUACCUUAGAUGAAGAUUCCUCGCGAAUUUGAGUGGAAAAUAUGAGUUCUUGAGCCCUAAACCUUCACUUCUUCUUCUCCAAUGGAGGUUUUUAGUGAAAGAAAUAUUUGGGGAAAAGUUAGUUAUGAACUUGGGGUUUAGGAUUCAAGAAGUAAAAUAGGUUAGUUAAUGGUCCAAAAUUAUUUAUAUAAGUCUAUUAAAAUGAUAUAAAGCGUCCCCAAGCUAAAAUAUUUAAAUUAGGAAUUUCCUAAAAUAAACUCACUUUGGCCGAGUUUGAGGCAGCCUACUGGCACGACCUACGACAUGCCCCCGACGGACCGUGGAUGGGUCAACGGGGCAUGUUGUAGGUUCAUGGUUCAUGGACUGCAGCUCCUCUUCAAGCCCCUUGACCCACGAUCAAGAGCUACGGGACGUGGAUGGACCUACUCCCAAUAGGUCCCAUCCAUAGGUCAAGGAAUUUUGGGCAGCUUGGCAGUUUUGGGGUUAGGCUUUAUGGUCCUCCUCAAGGACCCCUUGGUUAGUCCUUGGGGAGUCGUACCUUGACCUUUAACCCCUAAACACCUCGUCCUAGGUACGGGAAGCCAUUUUACAACCUUAACCCACACAUCAAACUCAAAAACCCUCACGUAAGGCUCUAGUUUCACCUACUAGUUUUUCAGAUGUUACACUACUCUAACAUGUUUUACGUAUACAGUUAGUAUUAGUUGCUUUUCGUCUAAACGAAAUGAUUGAUGCACCAAAAGUUAGGAAAUAUAUAUCCUCUUCAUGACAUCAAAUUGUAUUGGUUCCCUUGUUUUAUCUUUAAAUCAAUUUUCCAGAACAUGAUGCGUAGUCUUACUUCUUUAUUUGUUUAAAUUGGCUAAUGUAUCUAGGAACUCAAUAAUUUGUGGAUUUUUAUUGGUUACACAAAAAAUUUCUUCAACUAGAAGUAGUUUUGAUCAUGAAUCUGGUGCUACAGAGAAGUGUUCUCGUGCACCGUUUAUUUAUAUUUGUACGAAGAGACAGAUGAGUGUUGAAAGUGUUGCACAUCACUUUCCUCUUGUUUUCUUUUCAUUUUUAUAAUUGGAAAAAUUAACUCUUACUAGAGUUAUUAUAUUCCCUGUUAUUUCCAUCAAAUAAACCCAACAAAAUCAGGUAAUGUUGAGGUUGGUAUCAGAUACAAAGUAGUUCUUAACUUCUUGUUUCAUGUUAUGUACUUGUGUUAAAUCAUAAGACAAACAACCUGCAAGUAAAAUCAAAAUUCAAGAUAACAUCAUGUUGAAAAAGUAAGAAGCAAAACUGAGGUUUAACUUGCUAAACAGAGUCUUUUAGGGUCGAAAAAACUCCUUUGGAUCUAAGUUCAACUCUAAUAGAUAUCGUUUAACUUCAUAUAUAGAUCAUCUAUCUUUUCCUUUACACGUUAUGGGUUUGAAGGUUUUGGAUGCUGUUAGGGAUUUAUAAGGGAUUGAUGAAAGAAAAAAAAUUACGUUGUAACAAUUAUAUAAGCUUUUCUUAGUUAUUUGUUUCAUAUUAGGCUCCCCUUUUAUGAGGGUCGAAGUUAGCCAGUAUUUAGCCACUAGUUUAAAGAAUCAUGCUACAUUAGUCAUUUAUUCCUUCAUUCAGGAACAAGUGGCCCUUAAGAAAGGAAAUUAACCAAUUCAAAGACUCUUGUUGAACUAGGAUAGGAGCCUAAAUAUCCAAGCUUCCCUCUGUUCCUUGGAGUUGCAGAUUAAAUUAUGGCAGAAGGUCUAUUCUUUGAUUGAUUGAAUGAAUGCAGGUGACCUAUUUUGGCAGAAGUAGCAAUAAUAAAUGUCAUGGAGGGAAAACACAAUAAUGAAAAAGAAAUAGAGACAUGGAACAAUUACUCUCUACUUAAGAAGAAUCGAACACUAUCCUCCGCUUUAGUUGUCUUAGUUGGAGCUAAGGUCUCCUACAUUGAAAGUUAGGCUUAUGAGUAAGAACAAUCACAAAUACUAAACCUUUUCCAAAUAAUUAAAAGAAUUUCAUAUAGCUUUGCACAAUAAUUUCAUCAUAGACCAAAGAAAAUUCUCUACUAACCUGUUAACUAGUUCAAUAUAUUAAUUAGUGGAAGAUGGUGGUGAUGAAGGCUGACAAAACACUACAGUUGCAAGCUGUUCAUAUUUUUUCUCAAGCUCAUCCACGCAUUGACAUUUAUUCUCUAACUCAUCCAUGCAUUUCACUUACAUUCAACUUAUAUAGAAAUGCAGCCUUUGAAGAGUUACCACCAUUUCAACACCUUCGAUGUUACCCCCCCACAAAUCCAACCACAUUACUUUUACAUUGAGGUCCAAAGCACUUCUCAACGACCUCAAUAUUUGUAAGAGAUGAAUUAAGAUUGAAUCACUUUCUAGAUCUCAACCUAUAAAACACAAGACAUAUUAAAAUAAUAAAGCACAUAAACUUUAAUGGUGUAGCAUGAAAUUUAUGAGUAAACAUACUUAUUUUGCAUUUGUUUCAGGUUCGACAAGCUUGUUAUCCUUCUUACGUGUCUCAAAGAAGAUAGUAUCCAUUUUUGGUGGCUUACCAUCUUUUCCUUCCUUCACAUAUAAAUAUAGUGGUAAAAGAAAUCAAAUUAACAGAGAAGAGGCUUUCUAAAAAGCUUCUUGCUUUACUUACUAAUUCAUAAAUAAUCUCUCUAAUAGGCUUACUACUAGUGCGAUGAGGCAUACACAACUUAAGAAUUAUUGACUGAGUUUCUUGUACUUAUUUCCUAUAUCAACAAACCACCAUUGAAAUUAUGGUCAUCCAAUUAAAAUAACUUGCUAAUAGAUCAUAGGUAUGAAUUAAUACCUUUGACUAUUCACUUAAGAAAAGCUCUCUAACAAGUCAUUCCCAAUCACCCUUGUCUACAUCUUUUGACACAUCUUUUAGAGUAUCACAUAAUGUGUUAGACUUCACAUUCUUGUGGAGUGAUCCUCUCCAAUUAUUUAACAACCUUCACACUUGUUGCAAGAAAUGUUCUUUUUUAUCAUUCUUGCGUCACCGACAAAUUUAUCCUACAAUAUUACAGAAGUCUCAUUUUCAUAUUUUCAAGAAAGAUGCAAUACUAGAUUCAAGAAGGUUUUAUAAGAAUUAACAAUGUAAAAUCAUGACCCAUAUUUCAAGGAUGAAAUAACAUAUACAAGGAGGAAAUAACAUAAACAUAUUUCUUAUGAGCAUGUAAUGAAGGUGUUAAAGCCUAGUACCAGCAUCGGUGCACCAUAAAGGCCUAUACUAGCAAGUAUCAGUAAGUUGCCUAUUUAAGUUCUAUUAGAACAAAUCCAGUAAACAAGGCCCUGCUCCAAAGUUUCAUGGGUUCUAGCUACAGUGAUCGCUAAGUACAUCGUAUUCACUUGAUCUUAGAUGUUUCUUAGUUUAUUUAGUAUGGUAGAUAACUGUUUGACUUUGUAGCUGGUGCUUGUAAAGAUACUAGUUUCUUGGUUUUAAUAUAAAAAAUGCUAGUUAUCAGAAUAAAGUAACAUCAACACUAACUAUGAGAGAGUGGUAUAUAUACUAAUUGGGUCUAUUAUCUAUCUACCAAUGGAUCAUAAAUGUGAGUUGCAGCCACAAUCAAUUGAUGCGUAGGCUGUUGCAACUAAAUGUAGUAGGCUUGGUAUGGUACUUACUCAUCUAGCCUAGACACAAAUUUAUUGUCUGGCAAGCAACUGGCUAAUCAAGAGAAAUUGCUAACAAAAGAGAGGAAGAUUUGACUACAAAUACAAUUAGAAGAUGACAAGUGUUGUAUAUAUAAAGAUAACAAGCUGGAAACUCGAUUAGAUCUAUUAUCAAAAUGUACUCACUACUCAGCUUGCCGGAGAGUGUAGGAGUUGUCCAGAUCAACGAUCGAUCUCCUGGCAGCCUCAUUUGGGGGGACAAAGUAGUUGGUAAUAUUCUAUGAAGGCAACAAACGAUUCACUAUGUACUGAAAAUGAAAUGCUAUUUGUAAAAAAACAACACUCAAGACAGAACUAGCAAAUUGGAGUACAAAAGAUGAAGGUAACAAAAAGCUUAAUAUGGAUAAAGGGAAGGCGCUCGAAAAAUAUGAAAAAGAAUUAGUUACGGCUAUAUGGGGAGAUAGAAUCUACCACACUUGGAGAGAAACAAAUUGAAAAAUAUUCAGAGAGACAGCUAAAAAUACAGAUAUUACAUUUGUACAAAUAAUAAAGAGAUAGCUAAAAGAGUGGAUUUCUUGAAACACAAUAGGAAAGUUAAUAGAUGUAGAUACCUGGUCGAAGAAAUUUGUAACUAGGUGAUACAAAUUUACUUUAUGUGCAGAACAAAAUAGUCCAUAUCAGCAUCAUCCAGCUUAAAAAAUUAAAGAAAAUAAUGUUGUAAAUCCUUACCAUAACAACAUUCCACAUGUAUUCUAGCCUAUCGAUCUUUUAUUACGUACCCUCAAUGGACACAUAUGUUUUCACACUAAUGAGACUUGUAGGAUUCAGACAUUUAUAGGAAGUUUUUUGUCCUUUCUCACCUAAAAUACAAUGGAACUUCAGGACAAAAAAAAUCUUUGCUUAGAGACUUUUUAGAAGCUACACUCAAAUAGCUCACCCUUACUAAAGGAAGAAUGCCCUGAUCAGUUUCACACUGGGAGAAGGAUGGUACCGAUCAGAGAAAGUAGUGCUAAGUAUAUUCUACGCAAAGUUGGGCCUGAGAAGAUUUUAAAUUUUUUGAAUAACUAGACUAGUAAAGUGCAGUUGGCUAGCACCAUCAAUAGUCCCCCUAAAGGAAGAACCCAAGAGUGACUAAUUUUAUUCAUAAUGUAUAUUGGAAAGUGAACAUGUUUAAAGUUGUUUUCCCUUAACAAGUAGUUCAGAAAAUUAUGAGCAUCCAAAUUUAUGAUGAAUAAAAGAUCUACGAAUUCGGUCCAUCCACUAUAGUGGAAAAUUCACCUGUCACAAUACUUCAGAGUCUGCUAUGAGAUAGAGAAACAACCAAUGCAUUACUUCAAACAUGAUCUGGCAUCGUAAAAUGAAAUAUCACUUUCAAGAUAUCAUUUUUUGAUUAUGAGACUAUCGAGAAUUAGACUGCCAAUUGACAGUUCCCUCUAAAAAUUCAAAGUUCUUGGCCACUCUAGGUGUUGUUGGUGCAAACAGUAUUUCGAUGAAAGUAUGGAACACAAGUUUUAUAACAAUGGCUUGGUUAAAUACGUACAAACCUUUAGCAACACGAACAUAAUUAAGGAUAUGACUAAACUACAGUAGUGCACAAAGCAAAAUAACAUUAAGUUAAAAUAAAAGGAAAAAAAACCUAACGGAUACUCAAAAAUUAGGGAAAAUAAAAAAUUUGAAAAAUUUAGACAUUCCACAAAGCAAUUGAGAGUAAAAAUAAUACAAACUUACCUUGAAGAGAAGAAAACGCAAGUGUUGAGAAAACUAAUAAGCCCAUAAGCAGUAAGAAGAGAAGAUUGGUUCUCUUUAAGGAAUAAUAGAAUGUGUACUACAAUUAAAAUAGAGAGAUCUUGUUGCCUACUUAAAUAGAAGGAACUAAGAGACCUUCGGCCUAAUUUCUCUUAAUAAACAUUGAAAUUGACGUACCUUAUUCAUUUUGAUCUUAUAUGUUUCUUGAUUGUCCUCUGGCUAAUUUUCUUCCAACAAAUUGACACUCCUAAUUUUAAACUGAGGGAGCCCUAUGGCUAGAUAAAUUUAGGGUUAAUACAGACUUGGGCAGAAUAAAAAAUCCCCAAAUCUCAAAUAGAAUAGGAGAGAAGAAGGUAUUGCAGAUUUUACACAAAUUUCUCUAUUGGUACUGGAGAUAAGUUGUGCUUCAGUUAGGAUUCUCUAAUAGAAUGAUAGAAGAUCAGAAACUUCAUUAGUGAAUCUAUUUUCUUACGGAGAGGAGGAGUGGGGUAUGUGGACUAUUUUUUUAUGGAGAGGAGGGGUGGCGUAUGUCG
rnacentral:lncRNA from 1 species